AUACGUAGGGGGCGAGCGUUGUCCGGAAUGAUUGGGCGUAAAGGGCGCGUAGGCGGCCCGGUAAGUCUGGAGUGAAAGUCCUGUUUUUAAGAUGGGAAUUGCUUUGGAUACUGUCGGGCUUGAGUGCAGGAGAGGUAAGUGGAAUUCCCAGUGUAGCGGUGAAAUGCGUAGAGAUUGGGAGGAACACCAGUGGCGAAGGCGACUUACUGGACUGUAACUGACGCUGAGGCGCGAAAGUGUGGGGAACAAACAGGAUUAGAUACCCUGGUAGUCCACACUGUAAACGAUGAAUGCUAGGUGUAGGGGGUAUCGACCCCUUCUGUGCCGCAGUCAACACAAUAAGCAUUCCGCCUGGGGAGUACGGCCGCAAGGUUGAAACUCAAAUGAAUUGGCGGGG
rnacentral:rRNA from 1 species